rnacentral:rRNA from 1 species
AACGAACGCUGGCGGCAGGCUUAACACAUGCAAGUCGAGCGCCCCGCAAGGGGCGCGGCAGACGGGUGAGUAACGCGUGGGAAUCUACCCAGCUCUACGGAACAACUCCGGGAAACUGGAGCUAAUACCGUAUACGUCCUUCGGGAGAAAGAUUUAUCGGAGUUGGGUGAGCCCGCGUUGGAUUAGCUAGUUGGUGGGGUAAUGGCCUACCAAGGCGACGAUCCAUAGCUGGUCUGAGAGGAUGAUCAGCCACACUGGGACUGAGACACGGCCCAGACUCCGACGGGAGGCAGCAUUGGGGAAUAUUGAACAAGGGGCGAAAGGCUGAUCCAGCGAUGCCGCGUGAGUGAUGAAGGCCCUAGGGUAGUAAAGCUCUUUCACCGGUGAAGAUAAUGACGGUAACCGGAGAAGAAGCCCCGGCUAACUCUGUGCCAGCAGCCGCCGUAAGAC